AAUGAACGCAGGUGGCGUGCUUUAUACAUGCAAGUCGAGCGGAAAUUAGUUUGCAGUGGAGAAUGAUUAAUUUGCACUUUGUGCAAAUUAUGAGUUUUCUACUACGACUAGUUUUAGCGGCGAACGGGUGAGUAACGCGUGAAUAAUCUGCCCUUGAGACUGGAAUAAUAUCCUGAAAAGGAUACUAAUACCGGAAAAGUUAUGGGGUGCAAAUCUCAUAACCAAAGUUGGACUUUUUAGCCCUUCGCUCAAGGAUGAGUUCGCGUCCUAUUAGCUAGUUGGUGAGGUAAAGGCUUACCAAGGCAAUGAUGGGUAGCCGGCCUGAGAGGGCGUACGGCCACACUGGGACUGAGACACGGCCCAGACUCCUACGGGAGGCAGCAGUAGGGAAUUUUCCGCAAUGGGCGAAAGCCUGACGGAGCGACGCCACGUGGAUGACGAAGGCCUUCGGGUCGUAAAAUCCUGUCAGGGGGGACGAUGGUUGAUCUUCGGAUUGAUUGACGGUACCCCCAGAGGAAGCUCCGGCCAACUACGUGCCAGCAGCCGCGGUAAUACGUAGGGAGCAAGCGUUGUUCGGAUUUACUGGGCGUAAAGAGUGCGUAGGUGGCUAUAUAAGUCAGUGGUGAAAUCUCUAUUUUCAAGGUAGAAAUUGCCAUUGAUACUGUAUGGCUAGAGGGCAAGAGAGGGAAAUGGAACUCUGGGAGUAGCGGUGAAAUGCGUAGAUAUCCAGAGGAACGCCGGUAGCGAAGGCGAUUUCCUGGCUUGCUUCUGACACUGAGGCACGAAAGCUAGGGGAGCGAUCGGGCUUAGAUAUCCCGGUAGUCCUAGCCGUAAACGAUGGGUACUAAGUGUGGGAGGAGAAUUACCUUCUGUGCUGAAGCUAACGCGUUAAGUACCCCGCCUGGGGAGACGGUCGCAAGGCU
rnacentral:rRNA from 1 species